GGGGAACGCGUCUAGCAUGAGCGACUCUGAAUAUUGUGUGUAAUCAGUCCAAUGGAAGAGCAUGAAAUCACGGGCGGGGUGACGUAAGCGACCAGGAAGCUAUAAAAGCACAUGCCGCGCAGCUGGCAUCAGCUUCGCGUCUUCAGCAAGUGCUCUGUGUGUGAAUGUCCUCAGUUUGUCUUGUGAGUCUUAUUUACUGUUGUCUGUCCAGUAGAGCUCCAAGUCAUGUCAAAGAGCAAGGCGAAAACUAAGCACUCUAAGGGCGAAUCCGGAUCAUGUUUCAGACUGUGUGUCCCUCCCUGCCCGCGAUACAUAACGAGUGGAGAUACACACAGUCUGUGCGUGGUCUGCCUGGGUUCGAAGCAUGCCGAGUCAGCUCUCGAGGGGGCCAACUGUCCGCACUGUGAGAGAAUCGAGGGAGAGAGCCUUCGCCAGCGUUCCCCGCGGUUCCGGCCCCACUUCUGCCGAGGCAGAAUGGCAGCUGCACUCGUGGGGUUUGCAGGUGGAUCUGACAGAGGGAAUGGAGACGGGUGAGUCCCUAUCUCCUUCCACUUCUGCCAGAUCCGGCGCCCAAUCUCUGGAGUCGGAAGCACGCUCUGCGGUUCCUUCCACCCAGGGAGAGGGAUCGACACUCCGCCUCUCUUCCUCCGAGGAGGUUGAUGUGGAGUCUGUCGACAGGGAUUCGCCACCCCACUUGCCUAGGUAUGAGGAGCUCUUGGAGGUGGUGACUCGUGCGGUGGCCAAGUUAAGUAUUGAUUGGCCCGCCGAGAAGACCACUGAACCGCAGAAAAGCAAGUUAGACGAACGCUUUCUGCGGGCGAGUCAACCACCUCCUUGCCGGGGCCUUCCGUUCAUUCCCGAUCUACACGAAGAGAUCGCUAGAUCGUGGAAACGCCCAUUUUCAGCCCGCCUCUACAUCCCCUCUUCAGAUCACUACGGCAAUGUAGUGGGGAUGGCAGAGCGUGGCUACAGAGCGAUGCCCCGGGUGGAACAGACGCUCGCGAGCUAUCUGUCCCCCGGUACUGCAUCGUCUCUGAAGGCCCCGGCAUUGCCCUCCAAGCCGCUCAGAACAACUUCGGCUUUGGUGGGCAAAGGGUAUGCGGCAGCAGGUCAGGCUGGUGCGUGUCUG
rnacentral:lncRNA from 12 species